rnacentral:tRNA from 4 species
GGACCCAUGGCGCAACGGUAGCGCGUCAGAUUCCAGUCCUGAAGGUUAUCCGUUCGAAUCGGGUUGGGUUCA